UACAGAGGUCUCAAGCGUUGUUCGGAUUCAUUGGGCGUAAAGGGCGCGUAGGCGGCUCAUCAAGUCCGGGGUGAAAGCCCCCAGCUCAACUGGGGAAGUGCCUCGGAUACUGGUGAGCUCGAGGGAGGUAGGGGCGGAGUGGAACUUCCGGUGGAGCGGUGAAAUGUGUUGAGAUCGGGAGGAACGCCGGUGGCGAAAGCGACGGACUGGGGGUUUGCCGACGCUCAUGGCACGAAAGCCAGGGGAGCGAA
rnacentral:rRNA from 1 species